rnacentral:rRNA from 1 species
GGUCUUAGCUUGCUAAGACUGAUGGCGACCGGCGCACGGGUGCGUAACGCGUAUGCAACUUGCCUCACAGAGGGGGAUAACCCGUCGAAAGACGGACUAAUACCGCGUACACUUACAGGAGGGCAUCCUCCAGUAAGGAAAUGAAAUUCGCUGUGAGAUAGGCAUGCGUCCCAUUAGCUAGUUGGUGAGGUAACGGCUCACCAAGGCGACGAUGGGUAGGGGAACUGAGAGGUUGAACCCCCACGCUGGUACUGAGACACGGACCAGACUCCUACGGGAGGCAGCAGUGAGGAAUAUUGGUCAAUGGGCGAGAGCCUGAACCAGCCAAGUCGCGUGAAGGAUGACUGUCUUAUGGAUUGUAAACUUCUUUUAUACGGGAAUAACAAGAGUCACGUGUGGCUCCCUGCAUGUACCGUAUGAAUAAGCAUCGGCUAACUCCGUGCCAGCAGCCGCGGUAAUACGGAGGAUGCGAGCGUUAUCCGGAUUUAUUGGGUUUAAAGGGUGCGUAGGCGGCCUGUUAAGUCAGCGGUGAAAUCUAGGAGCUUAACUCCUAAAUUGCCAUUGAUACUGGCGGGCUUGAGUGUAGAUGAGGUAGGCGGAAUGCGUGGUGUAGCGGUGGAAUGCAUAGAUAUCACGCAGAACUCCGAUUGCGAAGGCAGCUUACUAAGGUACAACUGACGCUGAAGCACGAAAGCGUGGGUAUCAAACAGGAUUAGAUACCCUGGUAGUCCACGCAGUAAACGAUGAUAACUGGGCGUAUGCGAUAUACAGUAUGCUCCUAAGCGAAAGCGUUAAGUUAUCCACCUGGGGAGUACGCCGGCAACGGUGAAACUCAAAGGAAUUGACGGGGGCCCGCACAAGCGGAGGAACAUGUGGCUUAAUUCGAUGAUACGCGAGGAACCUUACCCGGGAUUGAAAUGUAGAUGACCGCUCCUGAAAGGGAGUUUUCCUUCGGGACAUCUAUGUAGGUGCUGCAUGGCUGUCGUCAGCUCGUGCCGUGAGGUGUCGGCUUAAGUGCCAUAACGAGCGCAACCCCUGUCUACGGUUGCCAUCAGGUAAUGCUGGGAACUCCGUAGAGACUGCCGUCGUAAG